rnacentral:lncRNA from 1 species
GCGCAUGCGCGGUGCCUAGGAUUGUGAUGUUUCGGGAGCCCGGCGGUGUGGCCGAGCUUCCCCACCCUCAACCCGGAGACCCCUUUAUUUUUGUACAUGGGCGGGCGCUUUAUGGGGUCCCCGAAACUCCUGUCUAGCUCUGCAGCACUAAGCCAGGCGUGGGGGCCCCACGGGCUUCGCGCUCGCUCUGGGGGGGGGGGGGGGGCCGCACCCGGGUCUUUCCCUCGGACCGACGUACGCCCGGCUUUUCCACCUCGGGACGAGGCCCUCAGAACAAUGCUCGUCUCCACGCUCGGAGCAGUUCGAUAGGCAAGCGAGUCGGGUCGGGAGGAGCAGGGCUCUCCAAGGUGGCCUCCCUCGCUGUCUCCUAACGCGGGCCGGCCGCCAAGCUUACUCGAUGGUGCCCAAGCCAAAGAAGGAAACUAUUGUUCCCCUCUCCCCCAAGACAGAAGCCAAGUCCAAGACCUUGAAAGCCAGGAAGGUGGUGUUGAAAGGUGUCCAUAGUCACAAAAAGAAGAUCCAAACAUGCUCCAUAUUCUGGAGAUCCAAGACACUAAGAUUUCCAAGGCAGCCCAAAUGCCCUCAGAAAAGUCCCCCUUGACAAAACAAGCUUGAUCAGUAUGAAAUCAUUGUUUCCCUUGACCACUGAGUCUCCCAUGAAGAAGACUGAAAACAAUAUCACCCUCAUCUUCAUUGUGGACAUCAAGUCCAACAAAUAUCAGAUCCAGCAGACAGUUAAAAACCUGUACAACAUUGAUGUGGCCAAGGUCAAUACGCUGAUCUGUCCUGUUGGAGAGAAGAAGGCUUACAUCCACCUAUGAUGCUGGGUUCACAAAAUUGGAGUCAUCUAAACUGUGUCCACUUCUUCCACUUCACCUACAUAAAAAGUUUUCCAUUAUAAAUUUUAAAAAUAAAUAAAA